rnacentral:rRNA from 1 species
CAAGUCGAGCGAAUGGAUUAAGAGCUUGCUCUUAUGAAGUUAGCGGCGGACGGGUGAGUAACACGUGGGUAACCUGCCCAUAAGACUGGGAUAACUCCGGGAAACCGGGGCUAAUACCGGAUAACAUUUUGAACCGCAUGGUUCGAAAUUGAAAGGCGGCUUCGGCUGUCACUUAUGGAUGGACCCGCGUCGCAUUAGCUAGUUGGUGAGGUAACGGCUCACCAAGGCAACGAUGCGUAGCCGACCUGAGAGGGUGAUCGGCCACACUGGGACUGAGACACGGCCCAGACUCCUACGGGAGGCAGCAGUAGGGAAUCUUCCGCAAUGGACGAAAGUCUGACGGAGCAACGCCGCGUGAGUGAUGAAGGCUUUCGGGUCGUAAAACUCUGUUGUUAGGGAAGAACAAGUGCUAGUUGAAUAAGCUGGCACCUUGACGGUACCUAACCAGAAAGCCACGGCUAACUACGUGCCAGCAGCCGCGGUAAUACGUAGGUGGCAAGCGUUAUCCGGAAUUAUUGGGCGUAAAGCGCGCGCAGGUGGUUUCUUAAGUCUGAUGUGAAAGCCCACGGCUCAACCGUGGAGGGUCAUUGGAAACUGGGAGACUUGAGUGCAGAAGAGGAAAGUGGAAUUCCAUGUGUAGCGGUGAAAUGCGUAGAGAUAUGGAGGAACACCAGUGGCGAAGGCGACUUUCUGGUCUGUAACUGACACUGAGGCGCGAAAGCGUGAGGAGCAAACAGGAUUAGAUACCCUGGUAGUCCACGCCGUAAACGAUGAGUGCUAAGUGUUAGAGGGUUUCCGCCCUUUAGUGCUGAAGUUAACGCAUUAAGCACUCCGCCUGGGGAGUACGGCCGCAAGGCUGAAACUCAAAGGAAUUGACGGGGGCCCGCACAAGCGGUGGAGCAUGUGGUUUUAAUUCGAAGCAACGCGAAGAACCUUACCAGGUCUUGACAUCCUCUGACAACCCUAGAGAUAGGGCUUCUCCUUCCGGGAGCAAAAUGACAGGUGGUGCAUGGUUGUCGUCACCUCCGUGUCGUGAAAAUGUUGGGUUAAGUCCCGCAACGAGCGCAACCCUUGAUCUUAGUUGCCAUCAUUUAGUUGGGCACUCUAAGGUGACUGCCGGUGACAAACCGGAGGAA